UACAGUUAGCCCAGAACAGAGCAGCACAGCUGGCCCUUAAAUUUACAGCGAAUUACAGUUAGCCCAGAAUAGAGCAGCACAGCUGGCCCUUAAAUUUACAGCGAAUUACAGUUAGCCCAGAAUAGAGCAGCACAGCUGGCCCUUAAAUUUACAGCGAAUUUCAGUUAGAACAGAGCAGCACAGCUAGCCCUUAAAUUUACAGGAAAUUACAGUUAGAGCAGCACAGCUAGCCCUUAAAUUUACAGCGAAUUUCAGUUAGAACAGAGCAGCACAGCUAGCCCUUAAAUUUACAGGAAAUUACAGUUAGAGCAGCACAGCUAGCCCUUAAAUUUACAGCGAAUUUCAGUUAGCCCAGAACAGAGCAGCACAGCUAGCCCUUAAAUUUACAGGAAAUUACAGUUAGCCCAGAACAGAGCAGCACAGCUAGCGGUGGGGCGCGCUAAUAGCGUUUCAACUGGUGACGUCACUCGCUUUGCGACGUUGAAGUAGUGGUUCCCCUUGCACUGCAAGGGCCGCGGCUUUUGUUGAGCGAUGGGUAACGAUGCUUUGAGGGUGGCUGUUGUCGAUGUGUGCAGAGGGUCCCUGGUUCGAGCCCAGGUAGGGGCGAGGAGAGGGACGGAAGCUAUACUGUUACACUGAUGCUGUUGACCCGGAACACUGGUUGCUGUGGAAAAGGAGGAGGUCAAAAGGGGGGUGAGUGUAACCGAUGUGAAAUGGCUAGCUAGUUAGUGGUGGUGCGCGCUAAUAGCGUUUCAAUUGGUGACGUCACUUGCUCUGAUACGCAGCUUUUGUGGUGCGAUGGGUAACGAUGCUUCGUGGGUGUCAGUUGUUGAUGUGUGCAGAGGGUCCCUGGUUCGAGCCCAGGUUGGGGUGAGGAGAGGGAUGGAAGCUAUACUGUUACACAUACAUAUGCCACCAGGGGUCUCUUCACAGUCCCCAAGUCCAGAACAGACUCUGGGAAAGGCACAGUACUACAUAGAGCCAUGACCACAUGGAACUCUAUUCCAUAUCAAGUAAUUCAAGCGGGCAAUAAAUCCGAUUUAAAAAGCAGAUAAAACAACACCUCACAGUGCAAUGCGAACUGAAGAGACACACACGCAUAUGUGCAAACACCCACACAUUGUAAUCUUUUAUUAUUGUACAUUUGGAGUUUUGGAGUGAAGUACAUAUGUAUAAUGCGCAAUGUAUUGUUAAUGUACUGUUUUCUUCCUGUUUGGACCCCAGGAAGAGGAGCUGAUGGGGAUCCUAAUAAAUACUAAAUACUCAUUUUGCCUAGACCACAUUCACUGUUGUGAUCUGUGACGUGCCAUCUGUGAACUGUACCGCCCCCUGUACCCAGCAAACAUGUGCCAGGCUAGCGCAGCUCUUUCUGACUGCAGCGAUCACUCUGUAGACAUCAAGCAAAUAGCAUGCUACUUAGCCACCUUGGAAUCAGGACAUGGUGCCUCUGCUUUCCACCCCUGCUUGCUCUGACUCCUCAGCAUGUGUCCAUGCUUUGGUGCAGAGAGUGAAGGGAUCAGAUCUGCUGAUUUCAGUGACUGAAGUUAUUUGGGCUUACCAAAAAAAAAGAAGAAACUAAAUGGAAUUCAGGUAAUUGAACUGACCUUAGUCAAUUUGUUGGUUUAAUAACACAUUUUUAAAAAUCCAAAAAUGUUAGUUGAUUGCUUCGCGCUAAUCAGAGCAGAACCAGUGUUUUCUCAGAGGGGUUCCAAGGCUGAUUCAUAAUGUGUGUGUCUGGUGUCAAGCUGCUGCUAAUUAGACCAGUCUGUUUCCCUCUGCUCAGGUCUGUUCAGGGUUAAGAGACAUCCUUCCCCAGAGGGAGGGAACAGCUCUGGUUUUAUAGACGUCUCUCAAUAACAGACCCAUAAAGGCUUGGAAUCACACAGGAUUUUAUUGGCCGUCAUCCCAAUUAAGACAGCCAUAUCCGCUGUAGACAGUUCCUAGAGAGCAGCUCAUUACUGGGCCAUGGUUGCUCAACCAGUGCAUUAGACGAGAAGAUUUUUCACAAGUAUCAGAAAGGUCACCUUCAUUGACUGACAGAGAGAGCAUGCAGGUGACCCGGUGUGAGCCUCUCCCCCUACAGGCUACAGGGAGAGAGCAUGCAGGUGACCCGGUGUGAGCCUCUUCCCCUACAGGCUACAGGGAGAGAGCAUGCAGGUGACCCGGUGUGAGCCUCUCCCCCUACAGGCUACAGGGAGAGAGCAUGCAGGUGACCCGGUGUGAGCCUCUCCCCCUACAGGCUACAGGGAGAGAGCAUGCAGGUGACCCGGUGUGAGCCUCUCCCCCUACAGGCUACAGGGAGAGAGCAUGCAGGUGACCCGGUGUGAGCCUCUCCCCCUACAGGCUACAGGGAGAGAGCAUGCAGGUGACCCGGUGUGAGCCUCUCCCCCUACAGGCUACAGGGAGAGAGCAUGCAGGUGACCCGGUGUGAGCCUCUCCCCCUACAGGCUACAGGGAGAGAGCAUGCAGGUGACCCGGUGUGAGCCUCUCCCCCUACAGGCUACAGGGAGAGAGCAUGCAGGUGACCCGGUGUGAGCCUCUCCCCCUACAGGCUACAGGGAGAGAGCAUGCAGGUGACCCGGUGUGAGCCUCUCCCCCUACAGGCUACAGGGAGAGAGCAUGCAGGUGACCCGGUGUGAGCCUCUCCCCCUACAGGCUACAGGGAGAGAGCAUGCAGGUGACCCGGUGUGAGCCUCUCCCCCUACAGGCUACAGGGAGAGAGCAUGCAGGUGACCCGGUGUGAGCCUCUCCCCCUACAGGCUACAGGGAGAGAGCGGCUGCAUGCCAAAUGGGACCCUAUUCCCUUAAUAGUGCAGUAUGUUUGACCAGGGCCCUAUAGGGUGCCAUUUGGGAACCCGCUAGGGGGAGAGGUUGUUGUAUCCCUGCUAGUUGGCUGUAGCCUGAGCUUUUUGCUUUCAAUCCUCAGCAGUAUGGAGAGGUGGGAAGAGGCCAUAGAGAGCCAAGGGGAUCCAAAGUGUCAUAUUUCAUGUUUCCACCACUUUCUCAUUGAAACCCUGUCCCUGUCGCUGGGAGCCUGACCCCGCCAUCAAUCCUUCUGCAGACUAACAACACAGCCCCCCCGGGAAACCGCUGAUUUCCACCAGCUAAACCUCACUGCUGCUCACUGUAUCUUUCUCUCUCUUCA